CCUACGGGGGGCUGCAGUGGGGAAUAUGGACAAUGGGGGGAACCCUGAUCCAGCCAUGCCGCGUGUGUGAAGAAGGCCCUCGGGUUGUAAAGCACUUUCAGUGAGGAAGAACGCCUGGUGGUUAAUACCCAUCAGGAAAGACAUCACUCACAGAAGAAGCACCGGCUAACUCCGUGCCAGCAGCCGCGGUAAUACGGAGGGUGCGAGCGUUAAUCGGAAUUACUGGGCGUAAAGCGCGCGUAGGUGGCUUGAUAAGCCGGUUGUGAAAGCCCCGGGCUCAACCUGGGAACGGCAUCCGGAACUGUCAAGCUAGAGUGCAGGAGAGGAAGGUAGAAUUCCCGGUGUAGCGGUGAAAUGCGUAGAGAUCGGGAGGAAUACCAGUGGCGAAGGCGGCCUUCUGGACUGACACUGACACUGAGGUGCGAAAGCGUGGGUAGCAAACAGGAUUAGAUACCCCAGUAGUC
rnacentral:rRNA from 1 species